rnacentral:hammerhead_ribozyme from 1 species
AUCUGACGAGUCCCAAAUGGGACGAAACACGCGUCUUGGAU